AAAAGAUAGAAUAUAAAGGCAGAAACACUAAAAAAUAGUGUCUAACUUAACAGUCUGUGUUAAGUGCUCCAUCAUGGGCCGUGGGUAUGGUGACAAGGCAUGAGUUCCCUUUGCUUCACCAUUGCUGGAAUGUAAGUUGCCACUCUUUGACGCCAUCUCGCUUCCAUCGAAACCCUCACCACCAUGAAUUCUCACUGGACCUUGAUAAUGCAGAGGCCACCAAUUCCAUUGGGUACUGCACCAGCCCAGACAUAACUCCGCCACCAUGAGUCUGCUUUGGGCCCACCUCUGAUGCAGCUGCUGUUGAUGCCAUCUGAUCCCAUACUGGGCCCAAUCUCGCCUCCACAACCUCCUCCAUGAAUCUGUGCUAGACACAGAUGACGUCAAGAAUCCAAACUUGCCUCCACAGCAGCAACCAUGAGUCAGUGCAAGGACUACCUCAACGAUGCAGAAGCCACCGGGAACCCAAACUUGCCUCUGACACCAUGCAUCCGCACUGGUGGGCCUACAUGCCACCGGUGAUGCUGUCACUGCAAUCAUUCUCUUCACCAAGAGGGCAACGAGCCUGACUAGUAAAAUGGAUGAACUUACAACAUUGGUUAGCAUGUGGGAAUAUGAUAUCACUGCGAUCACAAAGACCCUGGUUGAAGGAAGGGCAGGACAGACAGCUUAGGAUUCCAAAACAUAGAAGUUUCAAGCAUGAUGGGGACAUAAGAAAGAAGGCUAACAAUAGGUCCAGUUGGAUGAAUUUGCUGGUUGGUGGUGGAAUGAAGUGUUGGUUACAAAUUGUAGAACCAUAAACAGAAUGAUGUUUCAUGUGGCCACCUGUGGAAUCAUAACUGACACAUAAGAAGAUGUUGAAUGUCAGUCAUCUCAGCUCCAAGACACCUCUGCAGGAGUUCCUCAGCAUAGUGUCAUAUGCCCAACCACCUUCAGCUGCUUCCAUCAAUUACCUUCCUUCCAUCAUAAGAUCAGAAGUGAGCUGAUUGCACAAUGUUCAACACUUUUCAUGACUCCUCAGAUACUGAAGCAGUCUGUGUUGAAAUGGAAUAAGAUCUGGACAAUAUCCAGGCUUGGGCUGACAAGUGGCAAGUAACAUUCACACCACACAAAUGCCAGGCUGUGACCAUCACCAAUAAGAGGCAAUCUAAUCAUUGUCCCUUGACAUUACAAGGUGUUACAUCACUGAAUUCCCCCCCAUGAACAUUCUGGGGGUUACCAUUGACCAGAAACUCAACUGGAUUCACCACAUCAACACAGCGUCUAGAAGAGCACGUCAGAGGCUAGGAAUAUUGCCCAAGCAACUCAUCUCCUGAUUCACCAAAGACAGUCCACCAUCUACAAGGAAUAAGUCAGGAGUGUAAUGGAAUACUUGUCACUUGCCUUGUUGAGUACAACCCUAACAACAUCAAGAAGUUUGACACCAACCAAGACAAAGCAGCGUGUUUGAUAGACACGACAUCCAUGAGCAUCCAUUCCCUCUACCAUUGACACUCAGUAGCAGCUGUAUGUAUUAUCAGCAAGACAUACUGCAGAAAUUCACUAAAGAUCCUCAGACAGCACCUCCAAACCCACAACCACUUCCAUCUAGAGGGCCAAGAGCAGCAGAUUUAUGGGAACACCGCCACCGUCAAGUUCCUCUCCAAGCUGCUCACUAUUCUGACAUAGAAACGUAUCACCAUUCCUUCACUUUCACUGGGUCAACAUCCUGUAAUUCCCUCUCUAAUGGUAUUGUGGGUCAACCCACAACAGGUGAAUGCAGUGGUUCAAGAAGGCAGCUCACCACCACCUUCUCAAGAGCAACUAAAGAGAGGCAAUAAACACUGGCCAGCCAGCAAUGCCCACAUCCCACGAAUGAAACAAAAAUGUACAUGUCCAUCCAUGUAUAUGAACCAGAAACAUCUCCAGAACACGCAUACUGAACAACCCCACCACUCUGACUGAGCACUUCAACUCCCCCUCCCACUCCACUAAGGACAUGCAAGUCCUGAGCUUCCUCCACCACCAAAUCCUAGCCACCCAAAGAAUGGCGGAAGAACACCACAUCUUCCACCUUGGAAUCCUCCAACUACAUGGAACCAAUGUUGAUUUCACCAGUUUCCUCAUCUCCCUUCCCCCCACAUUAUCCCAGAUCCAGCCCUCUAACUCGGCACCACCCUCUUGAACUGUCCUACCUGUCCAUCUCCCUUCCCAUCUAUCUGCUCCGUCCUAUCACCAUCGCCCCUCACCUUCAUCUACCUAUCGCAUUCCUAGCUGCCUUCCCCACAGCUCCAUCCUCCUCCAAUUUAUAUCUCAGCCCCCUUGCUGCACCUCCCCUCCAACACAUUCCUGAUGAAGAGCUUAUGCUCAAAAUGUCACCUCUUUUGCUUGAC